GACGAACGCUGGCGGCGUGCUACUACAUGCUAAGUCGUACGCUUCUUUUCUAUCGAGUGCUUGCACUCACCAGAAAAGAGGAGUGGCGAACGGGUGAGUAACACGUGGGUAACCUGCCCUUCAGAGGGGGAUAACACUUGGAAACAGGUGCUAAUACCGCAUAACAAUCGAAACCGCCUGGUUUUGAUUUGAAAGACGCUUUCGGGUGUCACUGAAGGAUGGACCCGCGGUGCAUUAGCUAGUUGGUGAGGUAACGGCUCACCAAGGCCACGAUGCAUAGCCGACCUGAGAGGGUGAUCGGCCACACUGGGACUGAGACACGGCCCAGACUCCUACGGGAGGCAGCAGUAGGGAAUCUUCGGCAAUGGACGAAAGUCUGACCGAGCAACGCCGCGUGAGUGAAGAAGAUUUUCGGAUCGUAAAACUCUGUUGUUAGAGAAGAACAAGGGUGAGAGUAGAAUGUUCACCCCUUGGACGGUAUCUAACCAGAAAAGCCACGGACUAACUACGUGCCAGCAGCCGCGGUAAUACGUAGGUGGACAAGCGUUGUCCGGAUUUAUUGGGCGUAAAGCGAGCGCAGGCGGGCCAUUUAAAGUCUGAUGUGAAAGCCC
rnacentral:rRNA from 1 species